GCAAACUUGGUCAUUUAGAGGAAGUAAAAGUCGUAACAAGGUUUCCGUAGGUGAACCUGCGGAAGGAUCAUUACCAAGCAAAAAAGCUCAGGUCCGGGUAACCGGCCGGAGUGCAAACCCUCUGUGAAACAGAAAAUACCUUUCGCUUCCGUGGUAGGUUGGGCUUCCUUAACCGGUUGCCCAGCUGUAAUCCCACGGGCAGCAAAGCAAAACUGGAAUUUACCAAACCUGAUCUGAACAAUCGUUAAGAACGAAUGAAAAUUAAAACUUUCAACAACGGAUCUCUUGGUUCUCGCAUCGAUGAAGAACGCAGC
rnacentral:misc_RNA from 1 species